CGUGUAGGCGGUUUGUUAAGUCUGAUGUGAAAGCCCCGGGCUCAACCUGGGAAGUGCAUUGGAUACUGGCAGACUUGAAUACGGGAGAGGGUAGUGGAAUUCCUGGUGUAGGAGUGAAAUCCGUAGAUAUCAGGAGGAACACCGGUGGCGAAGGCGGCUACCUGGACCGAUAUUGACGCUGAGACGCGAAAGCGUGGGGAGCAAACAGGAUUAGAUACCCUGGUAGUCCACGCCGUAAACGAUGAGUACUAGGUGUUGCGGGUAUUGACCCCUGCAGUGCCGCAGCUAACGCAUUAAAUACUCCGCCUGGGGAGUACGGCCGCAAGGCUAAA
rnacentral:rRNA from 1 species